rnacentral:misc_RNA from 1 species
CCAUGACGGCUUCUGCACCGCUUCCUAUCCCUACCUUAGGUCUCUGCUCUUGGUGCAGCAGUGCGUGCGCGCCCCAUGCCGAUGUGUAGACUCCCCUGCACAGCGGCGUUGUCUUCGUUAUCCUCUGUUUGCUGCUUUGAGUCCCUCAUGACAGAGGAGGGAGACACACCUCCGCGCGUGGCAUCUCAGGGCCCAGCGGCCCCGCACCCUCUGUGUGGGUGGAGGAGGCCAAAGCAGCCCUCCUAUAUCCCUGCCAAAUGCCGAACCACUUGAGGUGGUGACCGGGCCAGGUGCCUACGACGUAGGGGGGGAGGCGAGUGCGAUGCAUCCCUGCUGAUGUGGGCGGCCGUGCCCUGGACGGCGUGGCGUCGGGGCGACCUGCGACUGUGAACAGGUCUGUGCCCAUCCACGUGAUGGGCGUUCAUCUUUUUUCCUCCUUUGGCUUGCGUUUUUUAGGCGUGACGCGGUUCGAUGCUAUCGUGGUAUAUUGCAUACGUGACUACCCUCACCCGUGCUACCUUCCAUCCUUGCCGCUGGCCUCCUCUUUCUCUGUUCCCAAGUAUCUCUCUUGCCUUGUGCCGGUGCUGUGCUGCAAGCAGACGCACGGGCGCUCCGCCACACGAGAGAAAGGCACAGAGAGAGACCUAUACAGGAGCUGGCAAAGAGGCGCACGGGGAGUAUGGCAUAGGUGACCGUGAAAAGGAAAAGGAACGAAAUUUGAAAAGCUGAGAGCGACUCUCCUGUCUCCGCCCACCUCGUGACGACUUGUCUUUCCCUCUUUCUACAAACAAGUUAGCGCUUGCGAGCCACGCCAGAGAAAGACGAAGGGGGCCUCAGGCGUAUGUCGGUGCGCUCACUCACUACCACUGCACACCUGUCUGUAUGCCUUGUGUGCGCGUGUGCCACAUGGGACGUCCUCCUCCUCCUGUGGGCGUGCAUGCCAUCGGUUUCUGAUUCUGUUAUGCUCCUUUCGGGUGUUUCGUUU